rnacentral:rRNA from 1 species
GAUGAACGCUGGCGGCGUGCCUAAUACAUGCAAGUCGAGCGAACGGACGAGAAGCUUGCUUCUCUGAUGUUAGCGGCGGACGGGUGAGUAACACGUGGAUAACCUACCUAUAAGACUGGGAUAACUUCGGGAAACCGGAGCUAAUACCGGAUGAUAUUUUGAACCGCAUGGUUCAAAAGUGAAAGACGGUCUUGCUGUCACUUAUAGAUGGAUCCGCGCUGCAUUAGCUAGUUGGUAAGGUAACGGCUUACCAAGGCAACGAUGCAUAGCCGACCUGAGAGGGUUAUCGGCCACACUGGAACUGAGACACGGUCCAGACUCCUACGGGAGGCAGCAGUAGGGAAUCUUCCGCAAAGGGCGAAAGCCUGACGGAGCAACGCCGCGUGAGUGAUGAAGGUCUUCGGAUCGUAAAACUCUGUUAUUAGGGAAGAACAUAUGUGUAAGUAACUGUGCACAUCUUGACGGUACCUAAUCAGAAAGCCACGGCUAACUACGUG